rnacentral:rRNA from 1 species
UACGUAGGGGGCAAGCGUUGUCCGGAUUUAUUGGGCGUAAAGAGCGUGUAGGCGGUUAGGUAGGUCCGUUGUGAAAACUCGAGGCUCAACCUCGAGACGCCGAUGGAAACCAUCUAACUAGAGUCCGGAAGAGGAGAAUGGAAUUCCUGGUGUAGCGGUGAAAUGCGCAGAUAUCAGGAAGAACACCCGUGGCUAAGGCGGUUCUCUAGUACGGUACUGACGCUGAGACGACGAAGCGUGGGGGAGCGAAACAGG